UACACUCCUACGGGAGACAGCAGUGGGGAAUUUUGGACAAUGGGCGAAAGCCUGAUCCAGCAAUGCCGCGUGAGUGAAGAAGGCCUUCGGGUUGUAAAGCUCUUUUGUCAGGGAAGAAACGGUGAGAGCUAAUAUCUUUUGCUAAUGACGGUACCUGAAGAAUAAGCACCGGCUAACUACGUGCCAGCAGCCGCGGUAAUACGUAGGGUGCAAGCGUUAAUCGGAAUUACUGGGCGUAAAGCGUGCGCAGGCGGUUUUGUAAGUCUGAUGUGAAAUCCCCGGGCUCAACCUGGGAAUUGCAUUGGAGACUGCAAGGCUAGAAUCUGGCAGAGGGGGGUAGAAUUCCACGUGUAGCAGUGAAAUGCGUAGAUAUGUGGAGGAACACCGAUGGCGAAGGCAGCCCCCUGGGUCAAGAUUGACGCUCAUGCACGAAAGCGUGGGGAGCAAACAGGAUUAGAAACCUGGUAGUCCC
rnacentral:rRNA from 1 species